rnacentral:piRNA from 1 species
AACUGAAUGUAUAAAUAGAUCUGAAG